UACGAGGGGUCCUAGCGUUGUUCGGAAUCAUUGGGCGUAAAGAGCUCGUAGGUGGCUUAGUAAGUCGGGUGUGAAAGCCCAGGGCUCAACCUGGGAACUGCAUCCGAAACUGCCUUGCUCGAGUAUGGGAGAGGGAAGUGGAAUUUCCGGUGUAGCGGUGAAAUGCGUAGAUAUCGGAAGGAACAUCAGUGGCGAAGGCGACUUCCUGGACCAAUACUGACGCUCAGGUGCGAAAGCGUGGGGAGCAAACAGG
rnacentral:rRNA from 1 species